rnacentral:rRNA from 1 species
UACGGGGGGGGCAAGCGUUGUUCGGAAUUACUGGGCGUAAAGGGCUCGUAGGCGGCCAACUAAGUCAGACGUGAAAUCCCUCGGCUUAACCGGGGAACUGCGUCUGAUACUGGAUGGCUUGAGUGUGGGAGAGGAAUGCGGAAUUCCAGGUGUAGCGGUGAAAUGCGUAGAUAUCUGGAGGAACACCGGUGGCGAAGGCAGGUGGCUACGAUUGGUUUGACACUGAGGCACGAAAGCAUGGGGAGCAAACAGG